AUUCGUGAUAUGAUACACUUUGAUUUGUUUUGACGCACUUGUGCAUUGCAAUACACCACACGUGGAUUGAAACAACAUUUGGAUACGUUGUUGCAUUUUGGGGAGUCUGUGGGAGCUUGAUAUUCAAGAGAUCAUGGAGAUAUUCCUACUAAAUUUCUUAGAUGCUCUAAGUGAUUGGUGUUAUGUGAAGGUAGCUUUGAUCAGACGGCGAUUAAAGGAUGUGCUUAAUAUAAUCAUAAACGCGUCAGUGUCUUCUGCGAUGGAAAAUCAUAAGCAGUAGUUUGCAGGUUUCGAGUAUGUGGUCGAGAAGCGUACAGGGGAGACGCAUGGCUUGGCUUGGUGCAUUUCUCUUUAACUUUAUCAAAAGAAGGUUUUGGUCCUUAAUCGGACUUUGAAGUCACUUAUUUAUUUACUUUUUAUUUGUUUCCUAUUUGCUUAUUUACAAAAUUUCGAGAGACCGGCAACACUGGGGCGCGUCUCUCAUACUUAUAUUU